UACAGAGGUCUCAAGCGUUGUUCGGAUUCAUUGGGCGUAAAGGGUGUGUAGGUGGCGCGCUAAGUCGGGUGUGAAAUUUCGGAGCUUAACUCCGAAACUGCAUUCGAUACUGGCGUGCUUGAGGACUGGAGAGGAGACUGGAAUUCAUGGUGUAGCAGUGAAAUGCGUAGAGAUCAUGAGGAAGACCAGUGGCGAAGGCGGGUCUCUGGACAGUUCCUGACACUGAGGCACGAAGGCCAGGGGAGCGAACAGG
rnacentral:rRNA from 1 species